UGGCGGUGGCUACACAUGCAGUCGAACGGCAGCACAGGAGAGCUUGCUCUCUGGGUGGCGAGUGGCGGACGGGUGAGGAAUACAUCGGAAUCUACUCUGUCGUGGGGGAUAACGUAGGGAAACUUACGCUAAUACCGCAUACGACCUACGGGUGAAAGCAGGGGACCUUCGGGCCUUGCGCGAUUGAAUGAGCCGAUGUCGGAUUAGCUAGUUGGCGGGGUAAAGGCCCACCAAGGCGACGAUCCGUAGCUGGUCUGAGAGGAUGAUCAGCCACACUGGAACUGAGACACGGUCCAGACUCCUACGGGAGGCAGCAGUGGGGAAUAUUGGACAAUGGGCGCAAGCCUGAUCCAGCCAUACCGCGUGGGUGAAGAAGGCCUUCGGGUUGUAAAGCCCUUUUGUUGGGAAAGAAAUCCAGCUGGCUAAUACCCGGUUGGGAUGACGGUACCCAAAGAAUAAGCACCGGCUAACUUCGUGCCAGCAGCCGCGGUAAUACGAAGGGUGCAAGCGUUACUCGGAAUUACUGGGCGUAAAGCGUGCGUAGGUGGUCGUUUAAGUCCGUUGUGAAAGCCCUGGGCUCAACCUGGGAACUGCAGUGGAUACUGGGCGACUAGAAUGUGGUAGAGGGUAGCGGAAUUCCUGGUGUAGCAGUGAAAUGCGUAGAGAUCAGGAGGAACAUCCAUGGCGAAGGCAGCUACCUGGACCAACAUUGACACUGAGGCACGAAAGCGUGGGGAGCAAACAGGAUUAGAUACCCUGGUAGUCCACGCCCUAAACGAUGCGAACUGGAUGUUGGGUGCAAUUUGGCACGCAGUAUCGAAGCUAACGCGUUAAGUUCGCCGCCGGGGGAGUACGGUCGCAAGACUGAAACUCAAAGGAAUUGACGGGGGCCCGCACAAGCGGUGGAGUAUGUGGUUUAAUUCGAUGCAACGCGAAGAACCUUACCUGGCCUUGACAUGUCGAGAACUUUCCAAAGAUGGAUGGGUGCCUUCGGGAACUCGAACACAGGUGCUGCAUGGCUGUCGUCACCUCUUGUCGUGGAAAUGUUGGGGUUAAUUCCCGCAACGAAGGGCAACCCUUUGUCCUUAAUUUGCCAACCCCUUAAUGGUGGGGAACUUUUAAGGAGACCCCCCGGUGACAAACCCGGAAGAAAGGUGGGGGAAUGAAAUUUAAGUUUAUAAAGGGGCCCUUUAAGGGCCAGGGGGUUCCACACGGUUCUACCAAAUGGUUGGGGGACAGAAAGGGCUC
rnacentral:rRNA from 1 species